GAGAAGGAUGCUGAUUUUUGUUCUUCGCGCAUCAAAAAAAAAAGAAGGUGAAGACGAGAAAGACCACGAUAGUAUUAGUAGGAGCGAUAGUGAUUUUGAUUUUGGCAUAAACAGCGAGUGGACUUAGUAUAGUUACGUGUCGGAAAUUGAACCAGAGUGGGAUUUCAAGAGUAAGAUUUAAAACAUACAGUUCCCACUUGCAACAAUAGAUGAUAAAAUCAGUCUCAUAAAUCGUCAAUGACUCAACCUCAAAAAUAUGUUUGAUUCAUGUCCCGAUAAUUUCUUUAUUCUUUUCCAAUCUGAAUCGAUUUGUGUAAGAUACUCUUCUGGUGGGUUCUCUGGUUUUUAAUGUGUUUUUUCUCUUGGGUUCGUGACAGAUAAGAAAUCCAAUUGAACAAUGGGAUUCUCACAGAGAACAAACAUAUUUUUGCCAUGUAAGUUAAUCGAUUUUCCCAUUCCUAUAUUGAUUUGAGACUGCACUCUAAUACUCUGAAAUAGCAACAGCAUUUGGAUUUGAUGUGACAAGUUAUAAGGGAAACAGAGAAGAUUCAUAAUUCUCUCACAAGUCUUGGUGAUUUUUUCAUUGGCCUUGAGUGAUUAAGACUAUCGGAUCCAUUGGAAAGUCAAAUACGGAGAGGCAAUGAAGAAGGAUGCUACAGCAGCUGUCAAUGUCCGCUAUUUUAAAGAUGAGACAAGACAACGCCUACAAAACUUUGCGGUGUAUGUGUUCUUGGUAGAGAAAGAUAUCCUUCUGUUGAGUUGUAUUGAGAUUACCAGUUACUCAAAAGAAUUGGAUGAAAUUAAGCACAUGACCAAGCAAGAGUUCAUUGCCUCCUCAGAAUUAACUAGAGGUCAAAAACCAAUAUAAUACAUGAAGAGUAGCGGUAUCUCUAAAAGAGCUUCUAUAUAUAUCGAUGUGUGACAAGGUAUCAUCAACAAGAACCUUGGCAAGCAAGGAUUGGCCGUGUUGCCGAGAAUAAAGAUCUUUACCUUGAAAUCUUUGUAUCGAGAUCAGGAAAGCAUACUAGAUGUUUCAAAAGCAAAUCGAGGCUUCAGGUUCUAGACUUAUAAUCCUUUGGGUCAAAUAAUACGAGACGUACCAGCAUAUGAUGAUGUCAAUGGUAGGGUGGAGUCUGAAGGAGAAGACAAGCUUAGAUUGAAGUUCACAAAGAGGCCAAAGCUAAGAAACCUUAUAGGAAAAACAGUGAUGUAGAACUAGAACUUGAUUAUGUUGUAAAUGAGUGUGAGAGGGAGGUAUUGUGGGGUUGAUGUUGUUAAACACACACACAAAAAAAUUUAAGCAAAAGAUAUUGAUAACAAGGACGACGAACAUGUGGGGAGAGUAGCCACAAACAGGUAUAGAGUGGAUAUGUGGGGAGAGUAGCCACAAACAGGUAUAGAGUGGAUAAGAGAGGUGAAAAGUAUUAUGAGAGUGUAUUGUGCUAAGGAUUUUAUAUUACAAAAAUUGUAUAUAAUGAGAAGAAAGAUGAGAGUAAAGUAGAAGUUCUCACCA